CGCCUGUUUAACAAAAACAUUUCUUUUAGGUUUUUUUAAAGGUACUUUCUGCCCUAUGAUGUAUGUCUAAAUGGCUGCAGUACCUUGACUGUGCAAAGGUAGCAUAAUAAUUAGUUUCUUAAUUGAAGGCUGGAAUGAAUGGAAAUUUGAGAUAUAUGUUUUAUUUAAUUUAAUGUUAAAAUUUAAAUUUUAAGUUAAAAUGCUUAAGUGAAUUCUGGGACGGUAAGACCCUAUAGAACUUUACAAUGUUUGAUUUUAAUGAAUUUUUACAUUAAAUAUUAUAUUGAAUUUAAGACUGUUUUGCUGGGGUGGUGAAUAAAUUUAAACUUUAUUAAUAAAAAUCAUUAUAAAUGUUUGUGUUGAUCUGUUAUUAAGAAUUAAAGAAUAAGUUACCUUAGGGAUAACAGCGUAAUUAUAAUGGAAAGUUCAUAUUUAUAUUGAUUUUUGCGACCUCGAUGUUGAAUUAAGGUAAAUUUUAAGAAGCAGUAUUCUUAAGUUUAAGUCUGUUCGACUUUUAAAUCCUUACUUGAUCUGAGUUCAGACCGG
rnacentral:rRNA from 1 species